CAUACACUUGUACCAGCGGGAACCGGGUGACGGAAUACAUGGGUAUCUGCCAUCGAGUUGGGGAAUAACCAACCGAAAGGUUGGCUAAUACCGCGUACGCCUCCGGAUCUUCGGGUCGGAGGGAAAGCUGCACUGUGAGUGUAGCGCUCUUUGAUGAGCUCAUGUCCUAUCAGCUUGUUGGUAGGGUAACGGCUACCAAGGCUUUGACGGGUACUGGUCUGACGAGGACGAUCAGCCACACUGGGCACUGCGUACACGGGCCAGACUCCUACGGGAGGCAGCCAGUACACGGAAUAUUGCGCAAUGGGCGAAAGCCUGACGCAUGNGACGCCGCGUGGGGGAUGAACGGUCUCCGGGAUUCGUAAAACCCCCUUAUCGGGCAGGGCCACGCAUGGCAGCGGAGCANUCGCUCCGGGAACCGGUCACCCCUACCCAAGUCAAAAAGCCCAAGUCCCCCAACGUGGCGCCCCAAAAAUUACCCGGAUGCACACAACGACGCAGGCCCCCGGGCAGGGGUCAAANUUCACCGAACACAGAGGGCACGAGGCNAAAGAGCGGUAAAGACUCACAGGCGNAGCUCCACGAUGAGGGUGCAGCAAG
rnacentral:rRNA from 1 species